AAUAACAGAUUCGAUUCUAACAAAGGAAACAAUGCAGAAUUCUUCUCAAUGUUCUUUUUCUUUAGAGUUACACCAAGAUGAAUUUAUGCCUUCUGAUAUUUUGGCCCAGAUUAAAGAUCUUCAGAUUUCCCUAUUAACAUUCUCUCUUGGUUCAGAAGGGCCAGCAGGUUGGGAGAGCAGGGCAGGGGAAGAGUGUUUUUUGUUAAACCAUCUUGAGCUGCAGGAAAACUAUAAAGGAAAUUUGUGAGCAGGAAAACCAAGGUUGCUGGAGAAGUGAGGAAAGGAAAUCAAGAGUGUAAGUGUAGAAAAAAAAGUACAGCGAGACAGGUGAAGGGGGGUUUAAGAGGUACAGACAUCUAGUUAUAAAAUAAGUCAGGAAGCUAAAAAGAGAAACAUAGGGAAUAUAGUCAAUAAUAUUGUAAUAAGCUUAUAUGGUGACGGGGAUGACUGCAUUUAUCAUGGUGAACCUUGUGUCAUGUAGAGAGUUGUUGAAUCACUAUGUUGUACAUCUGAAACUAAUGUAAUAUUGUAUGUCAACUCUACUUCAAUAAUAACAUUUUUUUAAGAAAAGUACAGGACAGUCUCAGAGAGGGCAGGAAGAAAACCAAAAGUGAUCAGAAAGCUAAAAAGAAGGAGAGAAUGCUUGAAGAUGGCUGUGGGAAGAUGAUGGAACAUUGGAAACAUUUAAGGAAAUUACGAACCAUUUGUUUCAUAACAUACCCCUUGUUGGUGAAGCUGUGGGGACACCAGGCCCUGUAUGCAUAGGUGGGAAUGUAAAGUGGCCUAGUCUCUUUGUUUUGUUUUUUUUUUAUUUAUUUUUAUUUAUUUAUUUAUGAUAGUCACACAGAGAGAGAGAGAGAGAGAGAGGCAGAGACAUAGGCAGAGGGAGAAGCAGGCUCCAUGUACCGGGAGCCCGAUGUGGGAUUUGAUCCCUGGUCUCCAGGAUUGCGCCCUGGGCCAAAGGCAGGCGCUAAACCGCUGCGCCACCCAGGGAUCCCGGCCUAGUCUCUUUGGAAGGCAAUUUGGCAAUAUCUAUGAAAAUUUUAAAUGCAAAAAAAAAAA
rnacentral:lncRNA from 1 species